rnacentral:rRNA from 1 species
AGAUUGAACGCUGGCGGCAUGCCUUACACAUGCAAGUCGAACGGUAGAGUAGCAAUACUCGAGAGUGGCGAACGGGUGAGUAAUAUAUCGGAACGUGCCCAGUCGUGGGGGAUAACGUAGAGAAAUUUACGCUAAUACCGCAUACGAUCUACGGAUGAAAGCGGGGGAUUCGCAAGAACCUCGCGCGAUUGGAGCGGCUGAUAUCAGAUUAGGUUGUUGGUGAGGUAAAAGCUCACCAAGCCGACGAUCUGUAGCUGGUUUGAGAGAACGACCAGCCACACUGGGACUGAGACACGGCCCAGACUCCUACGGGAGGCAGCAGGUGGGGAAUUUUGGACAAUGGGCGAAAGCCUGAUCCAGCAAUGCCGCGUGCAGGGAAGAAGGCCGUUCGGUUAGUAAACGUGCUUUUAGGAACGGUAACGAACGGUUCCUUUAGUAAA